UACGAAGGGGGCUAGCGUUGUCCGGAAUCAUUGGGCGUAAAGCGCGUGUAGGCGGUCCGGUAAGUCCGCUGUGAAAGUCGGGGGCUCAACCCUGGAAUGCCGGUGGAUACUGUCGGGCUCGAAUCCGGAAGAGGUGAGUGGAAUUCCUGGUGUAGCGGUGAAAUGCGCAGAUAUCAGGAGGAACACCAAUGGCGAAGGCAGCUCACUGGGACGGUAUUGACGCUGAGACGCGAAAGCGUGGGGAGCAAACAGG
rnacentral:rRNA from 1 species